AGCCGCGGCAGUGGCGGCCCAGGCGGCGGCAGGUGUGGACCGGGCGGAGGUGUGGGGCGUCCACUCCCGCCCGCGGUAGGCGGAGGCCGUGGCUCUGGGGCCGGGACGGCCUCCCUGGAGGUGCUUCGCGUGCGGCUUCGACCUGCGCACAACUUGGGGCGCGGCCCGGGACGCGCAGAUUCCACGUUCGGCGCCCCGAGGAGAAAGACGCGCGGCCCCUGGCGCGGACCUGAGAGGAGAGGCGGCGGCCUGAGGGCGGCGGGGGCUGAGGGGCAGGCGGGAUGGCCGCCCCUGCUUGGGCUCCCCGCCCCCGCCCCCCCCCCGCCCCCGCCCCGGGAGUCCGCGCGGCGCCUCAGCGCUCCAACCUGACCCGCAGUAUCAACAAGAAAAUGAGAAAGUAUCAUCACACUUUGUGAAACUGCACUUCACAGAAGAAGAUAUAAACUGCACUUCACAGAAGAAGCUAUCCAAACCAUCGAUAAACUUGAAAAAAAGUGAUCAUCAUCGUGACUGCUCAUGGGAUAUGCUGCAUUUUUUACAAAUGGAAGAUUUGUGACAACCCAGCGUUGAGCAAGUCCAUCAGCACCAUUUUUCAAACUUUGUGUCUCUGUGUCAGAUUUUGGUAAUUCUCACAAUAUUUCAAACUUUUUCAUUAUU